UUAAGUUCAGCGGGUAUUCCUACCUGAUCCGAGGUCAACAUUUAGAAAUUUCAUCAAUUGACUGACAACAUCCUACCAGCUAGACGACGUUUGUGCGCCUGUGGUUGAAUAUCACCAUCGCUGAUUUUGAGGCCCGCUGGGAGACCAGCGCAGGCCCAAUACCAAGCAGAGCUUGAAGGUUGAAAUGACGCUCGAACAGG
rnacentral:misc_RNA from 1 species